rnacentral:rRNA from 1 species
UGGGGAAUAUUGCACAAUGGGGGAAACCCUGAUGCAGCGACGCCGCGUGAGCGAUGAAGGCUUUCGAGUCGUAAAGCUCUGUCCUAUGGGAAGAUAAUGACGGUACCAUAGAAGAAAGCCCCGGCUAAUUACGUGCCAGCAGCCGCGGUAAUACGUAAGGGGCUAGCGUUGUCCGGAAUCACUGGGCGUAAAGGGUUCGCAGGCGGAAUAACAAGUCAGAUGUGAAAGGCAUGGGCUCAACCCAUGUAAGCAUUUGAAACUGUAAUUCUUGAGAAGUGGAGAGGUAAGUGGAAUUCCUAGUGUAGCGGUGAAAUGCGUAGAUAUUAGGAGGAAUACCUGUGGCGAAGGCGACUUACUGGACACAAAUCUGACGCUGAGGAACGAAAGCGUGGGUAGCAAACAGG